rnacentral:rRNA from 1 species
AUGGGCGAAGCCUGAUGCAGCAACGCCGUGUGAGCGAUGAAGGCCUUAGGGUCGUAAAGCUCUGUUGUUAGGGACGAAGGGCGAAGGGUUAAUAGCCCUUAGCCUGACGGUACCUUUCGAGGAAGCCCCGGCUAACUACGUGCCAGCAGCCGCGGUAAUACGUAGGGGGCGAGCGUUGUCCGGAAUUAUUGGGCGUAAAGGGCGCGUAGGCGGCCUGGUAAGUCUGCUGUGAAACCUUGGGGCUCAACCCCAAGCGUGCAGUGGAUACUGUCAGGCUAGAGGAUGGUAGAGGCCAGUGGAAUUCCCGGUGUAGCGGUGAAAUGCGCAGAUAUCGGGAGGAACACCAGUAGCGAAGGCGGCUGGCUGGGCCAUUCCUGACGCUGAGGCGCGAAAGCUAGGGGAGCGAACAGGAUUAGAUACCCUGGUAGUCCUAGCCGUAAACGAUGAACACUAGGUGUGGGGGGAGUCGAAUCCCUCCGUGCCGAAGCCAACGCGUUAAGUGUUCCGCCUGGGGAGUACGGCCGCAAGGCUAAAACUCAAAUGAAUUGACGGGGAAUCGAAUUCCCGCGGCCGCCAUGGCGGCCGGGAGCAUGCGACGUCGGGCCCAAUUCGCCCUWGGGGNNNKNCGUA